GUGAGGAAUAUUGGUCAAUGGACGAGAGUCUGAACCAGCCAAGUCGCGUGAAGGAAGACGGUUCUAUGAAUUGUAAACUUCUUUUGUGCAGGAAUAAAGUGGGUUACGUGUAACCUUUUGUAUGUACUGUACGAAUAAGGAUCGGCUAACUCCGUGCCAGCAGCCGCGGUAAUACGGAGGAUCCGAGCGUUAUCCGGAUUUAUUGGGUUUAAAGGGUGCGUAGGUGGAUUGAUAAGUCAGCGGUGAAAGUUUGCAGCUUAACUGUAAAAUUGCCGUUGAAACUGUCGGGCUUGAGUGCAAAUGAGGUAGGCGGAAUGUGUUGUGUAGCGGUGAAAUGCUUAGAUAUAACACAGAACUCCGAUUGCGAAGGCAGCUUACUGGGAUGCAACUGACACUGAUGCACGAAAGCGUGGGUAUCAAACAGGAUUAGAAACCCGUGUAGUCC
rnacentral:rRNA from 1 species